CCUGCCCCUAGAGGCAUUGCAAGUGUGGCUGCUGUAUCACAUGACUGUCAGUAGGUGGCAGAGAGGAGAGAGGCUGUGUGUGUGCUCAGUGCCCUGACCUAUGAACAUCUGAAUGAUUAGUAGCCUAACAUU